UACGUAGGGGGCGAGCGUUGUCCGGAUUUAUUGGGCGUAAAGAGCUCGUAGGCGGUUUGGUAAGUCGGAUGUGAAAUCUCCAGGCUCAACCUGGAGGGGUCAUUCGAGACUGCUAUGACUAGAGUUCGGUAGGGGAGCGUGGAAUUCCUGGUGUAGCGGUGAAAUGCGCAGAUAUCAGGAGGAACACCAGCGGCGAAGGCGGCGCUCUGGGCCGGAACUGACGCUGAGGAGCGAAAGCGUGGGUAGCAAACAGG
rnacentral:rRNA from 1 species